AUGCGAUACGUAGUGUGAAUUGCAGAAUUCAGUGAAUCAUCGAAUCUUUGAACGCACAUUGCGCCCUUUGGUAUUCCAAAGGGCAUGCCUGUUCGAGCGUCAUUUGUACCCUCAAGCUUUGCUUGGUGUUGGGCGUCUUUGUCUCUCACGAGACUCGCCUUAAAAUGAUUGGCAGCCGACCUACUGGUUUCGGAGCGCAGCACAAUUCUUGCACUUUGAAUCAGCCUUGGUUGAGCAUCCAUCAAGACCACAUUUUUUUCAACUUUUGACCUCGGAUCAGGUAGGGAUACCCGCUGAACUUAA
rnacentral:misc_RNA from 1 species